GUGUUUGCUUUGGCAGCACAUACACUAAAAUUGGAAUGAUACAGAGAAGAUUAGCAUGGCCCCUGCAUAAGGAUGACAUACAAAUUCGUUCCAUAUAUUUUU
ensembl:snRNA U6 U6 spliceosomal RNA